AGUGAACGCUGGCGGUAGGCCUAACACAUGCAAGUCGAACGGCAGCACAGUAAGAGCUUGCUCUUACGGGUGGCGAGUGGCGGACGGGUGAGGAAUACAUCGGAAUCUACUUUUUCGUGGGGGAUAACGUAGGGAAACUUACGCUAAUACCGCAUACGACCUACGGGUGAAAGCAGGGGAUCUUCGGACCUUGCGCGAUUGAAUGAGCCGAUGUCGGAUUAGCUAGUUGGCGGGGUAAAGGCCCACCAAGGCGACGAUCCGUAGCUGGUCUGAGAGGAUGAUCAGCCACACUGGAACUGAGACACGGUCCAGACUACUACGGGAGGCAGCAGUGGGGAAUAUUGGACAAUGGGCGCAAGCCUGAUCCAGCCAUACCGCGUGGGUGGAGAAGGCCUUCGGGUUGUAAAGCCCUUUUGUUGGGAAAGAAAAGCAGCAGGUUAAUACCCCGCUGUUCUGACGGUACCCAAAGAAUAAGCACCGGCUAACUUCGUG
rnacentral:rRNA from 1 species